UACGAAGGGUGCAAACGUUGCUCGGAAUUAUUGGGCGUAAAGCGCACGUAGGCGGCAUCGCAAGUCGGAUGUGAAAUCUUAUGGCUUAACCAUAAAAGUGCAUCCGAAACUGCAGUGCUUGAGUACUUAAGAGGAUCGCGGAAUUCCCGGUGUAGAGGUGAAAUUCGUAGAUAUCGGAGGAACACCAGUGGCGAAGGCGGCGAUCUGGGAAGAUACUGACGCUGAGGUGCGAAAGCGUGGGGAGCAAACAGG
rnacentral:rRNA from 1 species